GUUGCUAACGCGUGAAGCGAGCACUCUAGACGAACUGCCGUUGACAAAACGGAGGAAGGUGGGAUGACGUCAAAUCAUCAUGCCCUUAUGUUCUGGGCUACACACGUGCUACAAUGGCCGGUACAGACGGACGCAAAGCCGCGAGGUGGAGCAAAUCCUAAAAAGCCGGUCUCAGUUCGGAUUGCAGGCUGCAAUUCGCCUGCAUGAAGUCGGAAUCGCUAGUAAUCGCAGGUCAGCAUACUGCGGUGAAUACGUUCCCGGGCCUU
rnacentral:rRNA from 1 species